GACGAACGCUGGCGGCGUGCCUAAUACAUGCAAGUCGAGCGAAGUUUUUCUGGUGCUUGCACCGGAAAAACUUAGCGGCGAACGGGUGAGUAACACGUAAAGAACCUGCCUCAUAGACUGGGACAACUAUUGGAAACGAUAGCUAAUACCGGAUAAUAGCAUUAACUGCAUGGUUGAUGUUUAAAAGUUGGUUUUGCUAACACUAUGAGAUGGCUUUGCGGUGCAUUAGCUAGUUGGUGGGGUAAAGGCUUACCAAGGCGACGAUGCAUAGCCGACCUGAGAGGGUGAUCGGCCACACUGGGACUGAGACACGGCCCAGACUCCUACGGGAGGCAGCAGUAGGGAAUCUUCCGCAAUGGGCGAAAGCCUGACGGAGCAACGCCGCGUGAGUGAAGAAGGAUUUCGGUUCGUAAAGCUCUGUUGUUAGGGAAGAAUGAUUGUGUAGUAACUAUACACAGUAGAGACGGUACCUAACCAGAAAGCCACGGCUAACUACGUG
rnacentral:rRNA from 1 species